AUUGAACGCUGGCGGCAUGCCUUACACAUGCAAGUCGAACGGCAGCACGGGUGCUUGCACCUGGUGGCGAGUGGCGAACGGGUGAGUAAUACAUCGGAACAUGUCCUGUAGUGGGGGAUAGCCCGGCGAAAGCCGGAUUAAUACCGCAUACGAUCUACGGAUGACAGCGGGGGACCUUCGGGCCUCGCGCUAUAGGGUUGGCCGAUGGCUGAUUAGCUAGUUGGUGGGGUAAAGGCCUACCAAGGCGACGAUCAGUAGCUGGUCUAAGAGGACGACCAGCCACACUGGGACUGAGACACGGCCCAGACUCCUACGGGAGGCAGCAGUGGGGAAUUUUGGACAAUGGGCGAAAGCCUGAUCCAGCAAUGCCGCGUGUGUGAAGAAGGCCUUCGGGUUGUAAAGCACUUUUGUCCGGAAAGAAAUCCUUGGCCCUAAUACGGUCGGGGGAUGACGGUACCGGAAGAAUAAGCACCGGCUAACUACGGG
rnacentral:rRNA from 1 species